rnacentral:tRNA from 2 species
GUAGUCGUGGCCGAGUGGUUAAGGUGAUGGACUAGAAAUUCUUUGGGGAUUCCCCACGCAGGUUCCAAUCCUGCCCACUACG